AGCAGUCUGGUCCUAGCCAUUGAAUUAUAGAGACUAUGAAAAGUGCAAGUAAAAUGUAUCCCAGUAGUUAUAGGUGCAUUGGGUACUAUCCGUAAAGAUCUGAACAAAUGUAUAGAGGAAAUAGGCAUAAAACCCAUUCUAGCACAGCUCCAGAAAACUGUGUUAUUAGGGACAGCUAGGAUACUUAGGAGGGUUCUUGGCAUCUAAGGCUAGUUGUUG